CGCUUCCUGCAGUGUUCGAUGCAGACUGGGAUCCCUCGACCCUAAUUACUUAUAUCGGGGCGGAUAUCUGCAGAUGUCUGUGCGCAAGUCCGCUACUGGCGGGAAGCCUGACGAAUCUGCGAUCUGCCCCACCUAUUGCUCUGGUUCGAGAGCAAAAGUCUGUAACGGCACAGGCGGGAAGCGC
rnacentral:other from 1 species